UAUUCGAGUGUAGGACCGUCGUUAAAAGUAUAUUGCCUUUUCUUCCUUUGAAAGAUUUACUGCUUGUUUUCCUUUCAGCACAAUGUCUCACAAAUUCUAUAUUUCUGACAAUAGAAGAAAAAUCACAGGGAAAUGUUCAAUUUCUAAGUUUCAACCCAAUUUCGACAAGCCUAAUUCUCAUCCACCACCACGCGAUUAAACACUCUGAACUAAUAGGUCGCCCCAAACCGAACAUGUGGAUAACGAAAUGAAAAGUUUGCACCGGACUAAAAGCUUGUUACUAACCUGUUAUAUUUCUAUAUACUUAUAUCAAAUUAUAACAUUAAAUUAUUUCUCUGAUAUACUUUAGUGGUUUAAUUCAUUAAGGACGAUUAAUGUUCACUUAAUACUAGGAAUUAAAACAAACAGUGCUUUCAAUUUUGAUGAACUACAAAUUUUCAAUAUUUGGAUAUAUCUUUUCUCAUUCACCUCUAUCAUUGCUCUUUAUCUCAGCUUUAAUUUCUUACACAGCUCACAUUUUACAAUCAAACUUAAUUUAUUUUUCUCAUCGUUGAUAUAGUAAUUUUAAAUACCUUUUUAUGAAUUUGAUUUUUCACUAUAUUAAAUAGUAUACGUGUAUAUAUAUUUUACCACGAUAUUGCUUUUCCAAUGAUGACACUUUUCCUCAGCGUGUUUUAUUGAGUACUAAAUGCUGGUUUUCACCUUCUCUUUUUAUUGUCGUUCAAUACUGGAAAUUUCCUAAAGGAAAGUUUCGUUCUAGAAACUUUUAGAAGCACUGUAGAUGUCGCAGUCAAAAUUGCAGAUUUUAAAUAAUACGAUUUCUUUUAAACUUAUAUUUCAAAACUGACUUCUUAAUAAACAAUUAAAAUAAGUUUCAUAGCUUAAUCUCUAUUUGUAAACAAUUUUCCAUACAAUUAAGUAAUUAAUUAAUUGAUGUAAAAUUACUCAAUCAACUCUGUUAGGUGUGUUCAAUGAGAGACAAGUAAAACUUUAAUUAUAUUUGUAUUUAUGCCGAAGCUUGAGAACAAGAAGAGCAUCAAUGAUGAUAGAAUACAAGAUUACGACAAUGAUUUACCGUUAAUUUUUUCGGUUUAGUCUGUGACAAUUAAACAAAAACUAAUUUCACUAUGCCGCCAUUUUGUGACGUAAUUCUUUUGAGUUGAGAAGAAGCUUAGAACAGCAUGUAAAUUGUGGACAAAAACGUAUUACUUUAGUUACUUUUGCUUGAAAAAAUUUGUAUAAUUUUUAAGUAAAAACACUCCCCCACCGCCAAUUAACUAAGUGGCUAAAAGGAAUUAUGAUUGCGAAGAUUGUAUUUAUUUAAUUUCAUAAGCAUAAAAUAUAUUGAUUUUGAAAAAUGAAGUGUGCAGUGGCGAGUUGCAAUAACUAUUAAGAAGCAAGUUUAUCCAGUUUUUCUUGGGAUAUAUAAAAUUAAUUUCAUAGUCAUAAUAAUUAUAACUUCAGAAUCUUUCAAUAUACUUUCACUUAAGUACAUCAAAACUGUUAUUAAUAUAGUAUAUAUUUGUGUAUAAUUGCAUAAACUGGAUGGAUCGCAAUCAUAAUCAUCAAUUCAUUGUCAGUUAUGUUAUCAAUAGAUAAAAGUAUUUAUAAAACUUAAGCAAAGUAUUUUAAUAUAACAUUGAUCUAUUUAUUUCACCAAAAAUGUUUCACUAUUAACUAAUAUAUUAAGUUUUUUUCCCGAAUUAACAAAAA